UCCUUAAGUUUAACUCUUCUCUUGCAGCCCCAGUUAGAAGCUCGUGUGAGAGACAUUGCCAUAGCAACCAGGAACACAAAAAAGAACAAAAGCCUGUACAGGAACAUUCUCAUGUACGGUCCCCCUGGCACUGGGAAGACGCUCUUUGCCAAGAAAUUAGCUGUGCACUCAGGCAUGGAUUAUGCCAUCAUGACAGGAGGGGACGUGGCCCCCAUGGGGCGGGAGGGGGUCACAGCCAUGCACAAA